GACGAACGCUGGCGGCGUGCCUAAUACAUGCAAGUUGAGCGCUGAAGGUUGGUACUUGUCCCAACUGGAUGAGCAGCGAACGGGUGAGUAACGCGUGGGGAAUCUGCCUUUGAGCGGGGGACAACAUUUGGAAACGAAUGCUAAUACCGCAUAAAAACUUUAAACACAAGUUUUAAGUUUGAAAGAUGCAAUUGCAUCACUCAAAGAUGAUCCCGCGUUGUAUUAGCUAGUUGGUGAGGUAAAGGCUCACCAAGGCGAUGAUACAUAGCCGACCUGAGAGGGUGAUCGGCCACAUUGGGACUGAGACACGGCCCAAACGCCUACGGGAGGCAGCAGUAGGGAAUCUUUGGCAAUGGACGAAAGUCUGACCGAGCAACGCCGCGUGAGUGAAGAAGGUUUUCGGAUCGUAAAACUCUGUUGGUAGAGAAGAACGUUGGUGAGAGUGGAAAGCUCAUCAAGUGACGGUAACUACCCAGAAAGGGACGGCUAACUACGUG
rnacentral:rRNA from 1 species